rnacentral:tRNA from 1 species
UCAAAAGUAGUUUAAAAAAAACUUUGUGCCUACACCACAACACACAAGGACCAAUCCCUUCUCUUGAA